UGCCAGGAAAGAAUUAUUCAAGCCCUUCCCAGAAGGUAUCCUUCUGGCAAGGGUACUGUACUAAACUAACUAAAGUGGGGGAUAGUGAGGGGAUAAAUUUUCUUAAGGAACUCGGCAAAAUCCCAAUGGCCCACCAGGGCAUAUUGGAACACGGGCCUCGACUGUUUACCAAAAACAUAGCCCUCGGCUAAUAUGAAAAUAGAUGUAUAGAGGGUGAUGCCUGCCCAAUGGUUGUAUCUAAAAGCGGUUGAUAAAAGUUGACCUCGUAAGGACAAUUGAAUGGCCGCGGUAACACUGACCGUGAUAAUGUAGCGUAAUCAAUAGCCAAUUAAUUGUUGGCCAGUAUGAAUGGCGCCACGAAGGCCCCACUGUCUUAAGGAAAUUCCCAGUGAAAUUGAAUUCGUAGUGAAGAUGCUACGUCCAAUUUGUUAGACGAAAAGACCCCGUUGAGCUUUACUGGAGCACUUACAUGGCCCCGGCCUUCCCAUGCCUGGGAACCGGCCGAAUUUAAAUGGGCGGCUUAGAUUAUGUGGCAGCCCCCCGCUGGGGCAAAUGAAACACCACUCCCCCAUGUCAAAGGGGCUAACCCCCCCCCUUGGGGGGACAGUGUAAGUAGGACAGUUUGGUUGGGGCGACCACCUUUUAAAAAGUAACGAAGGUGCGCUUAAGGUGCGCAAUUAAUGACUGAAGCCUGACUGCGAGGGGGACACCCCGAGCAGACACCCCAAAGCCCGCCCGAAAUGYSGCGGUGGGGUGGGCCAUMGUGACCCGUUAAUUUAGAGUGGAAUAGUUAACGAUCAACGAAUAAAAGUUACCACGGGG
rnacentral:rRNA from 1 species